rnacentral:rRNA from 1 species
AGUGAACGCUGGCGGUAGGACUAACACAUGCAAGUCGAACGGCAGCACAGUAAGCGCUUGCUCUUACGGGUGGCGAGUGGCGGACGGGUGAGGAAUACAGCGGAAUCUACUUUUUCGUGGGGGAUAACGUAGGACAACUUACGCUACUACCUCAUACCACUUACGGGUGAAAGCAGGUGAUCUUCGUACCUUGCGCGCUUUAAUGAGCCGAUGUCGGAUUAGUUAGUUGGUGGGUUAAAGGCCAACCAAGGCGACGAUCAGUACCUGGUCUGCCAGGAUGAUCAGCACAACUGGAACGGAGACACGGUCAAGACUCCUACGGGAGGCAGAAGUGGGGAAUAUUGGACAAUGAGCGAAAGCCUGAUCAAGACAGACCGCGUGGGUAAAGAAGGCCUUCGGGUGGAAAAGCCCUUUUGUAGGGAAAGAAAAGCAGCAGGUUAAAACGCCGAUGUUCUGACGGUACCCAAAGAAUAAGCACCGGCUAACUUCGUG